CCACCGUGGCCUCCACAGCAGGGAGGGAGAGAACAGAGGCUGGGAGGCAGCACAAGCAUCUCUGGAGGGCACUGACUGCAAGGGCUCUGACUUGGACAUGUGUAAAGUUACUGGAAGUGAGCAUUUAGAUGGACAAUCACCAGAAGAGCUGCGCGGCUAGAUAAAGCUGAAGACCAACACCGGGCUGUCUUCUAAUGCGUGUAGCCUGGGAGAGGAGGUGGAAGCAGGAGACUGAACACGACUGGGAAGAGAUGGCAGGGAAAGUCUAAAGGUGCCACAGCCUGGAGAGUGGGAGACAAUUCGAGGAGGAGGCAACUGCAGAAAUCUGACCUGCAGUUCAGGGCUGUGAUGAAGCUCACUGCCUCCAGUCACUGAAAGGGAGAAGCAGUUAAGAACAAAAGCGGCCCACAGCUUCCCUGCUACUGCAUCUGCCGUUUCUGUACAGUGCUCCGGCCCUCCUUUCCUGGCCAGGGCUUCCUGCCCUGCGGUCCUGUCCCUUCUCGUCCAGGCUCCUGCUCAGGGUGGGACACUGAAGACAAGGUGGAGGAACAGAAUUCUCAUCUACUAGUAUGUUAAUCACCAGAGUUUAUUGUAAGAGGCUGACCCCACUGCAUUUAGGGCCUCCUGACUCCUCUGUCACGUCAUGAUGGCUCUUUCAAUUCCAUGCAGCAACCAAGUCAUUUGGAAAAACACAGACAAAGAAGAAGGCAGGUAUUCUAAUAAAUGUCUAAAAGUGAAAUGUCUGGGACAAAUGUGAGGGUUUGUGGGUUUAACCGUACAAAUAUAGAAUUAUUAGUAACAGCAUGGAUGGGGAUAUUAAAGAAUAAAUAAAUGUAAUAAAAACAAAAAAGUACUUUCCUACUUUAUUAAAAAAUAUUUUCUGGUU